CACUCUUCUCUACCGUUGUGUGCAGUGCGAAGUGCAACGUCAACAGCAACAUCCCAGCAAAUAAAUCUGCCCGCCAGUGGUCAAUCCUAUGAGCUCCUGGUGCAGCAAUUUUAAUUGCACGCAGCAGAGGCGGCAACGGCAACGGCAACGCCAGCAGGAAGAGCAGCAGAAAAGAAGGGAAUGCAUGGCACAGUUUACCCGUGGUAUAUUUUGUGAAGUUUCACGAAAAAAUGUCUGCCUGGUCGGGUAGAAGUGGGGGGUGCAGCCCUCCCAGCCAACCCAGCCAGCAGCUCUGACAGUUCAAUUAUGCGCGCGUAUUGAAAAACUGCAUUCCCAUUUCCCGCAGCCCACCAGUUUCCAUUCCGCCCUGUCCACCCAUGCCCCUCCCCCACGCAUGCAAAUUUGCCUUCGCAUCAGAGAAAGGAAAUGAGAGAAAGAACAAGAAGGGGAAAAAACACUGAACUGUACGCAUUCCGAUGUGCAGCAGGCCAUGAAAAUGUGAAUGGUGGCAGAACUCGGUCUCCACAGAAGCACAUACAUAUCUGUGGCCCACACAUAUAUGGUCCACACACUAUAUAGCGAAAUAAAAGCAAUAUCUACAUGAUGUUCGAAGGUUACACACAGUUUUGUACGGUAUUUAUGUGUGUUUACCUUUCUCCCUCUCUGUCUCUCUCUCUCUCAGCCAGAUGAGUGUGUGCACGAGUGUCUGAGAGCAUAAAAAUUAAUUAAGCAACUAAAUGUGAUUUUAUAGCAUAUAAGCAUAGAACAAAUUGAAAAUGAUUGCAACCGAAAGAGAAGAAAAAUAGAGAGAGAGAGAGCGAGGGAGGGAGAGAGACAGAGAGUAAUGAAAAUCUCGCAUGAGAGAGUGAGGUGGGAGCUACAUGGGCCCCCACUAUGAGGAAAUUAAAAAUGUAUUUAGACUAACAGUCGGCUGAAUUAAAUGUGUGCAAAUGGAAACAACCACAAAACUAAAACAUAUCAUCCAAAUAGAGUGCAUAAAUAUGUAUGCGAUGCUCCAUCAAUGCAGCACAACAUAUACACACAUAUGUACAUACAUAUGUACAUAUGUAUUUACAUAAUUGAACUAAUGCCAUUUUUACAUCAUGUUAUAUAUCGGUGGCUAAACCAACCAUGAAAUCGAAACAUAUCAGCUGCAAUCGUCAGCGCAAAAAUAUACACAACAAACCAAAAAGAAAAUCUAUAUACAGAUACAGAUAUAUUAUUAUUAUAUACAAACAUAUCUUAGCGUGUAAGCAUCAAAUUAAUUGUAAAUGAUUUUGAUUUGGAACUAGUCUUUAGCGUGCGAUGUGUCAUGGAAUCGUCUUAGACAGAACUUUUAGCAGAAUACAAACAAACAAACAUACAAAAAAACAUAUCUUAGAUUAAUGAUGCACUGCCUAAACCAAAGAGAACAACAAAAAAACAAGCCUAGAGUUAUCUUAAUAGAUGAGUAAACUGCACCCACAUAGUGCGUAAGUUUAUUACGGAUAGUUUUUUAAUGCAUUUUUAGCCAGAUUAUUUUGUAUUCCUAAAGAGCGAACUCUACCUAUAGAUAAUCCUAAAAUAUACACAAACAAACAAACAUACAUAUCAGCGGUUUAGCUAAUGUUUAAACAUUUCGUAUGCAUAUCAAAACUCAGUGUGAACUACUUAGGAUAACACUCUACAUGGUAAUCCAAUUUCCUUUUAUAUCCCAGAUAUACAUACAUACUUACAUAAACGCAGACAUACUCGUAUGAAUAGAGGUACCUCCCCCCCUUUGGUUCGUGUGCCAGUGUUAAGGGAUCUUCAGCACAGAACUCGACUAGCGCUUAAAAGCAGUACUUAACAGAACAGGAAAUAGACUAUGAGAUUUAUAAGCCUUGUUUAUACAGACAUUUCCUUAUACACGAUAUGUAAUUGUACCGUACUAUCCCCCCCAUGCUGAUCUCUCAAUGACAAAGGAACCACGAAUGGAAUGAAACUAACCAAGCAAUAUCAAUUCAAAAGCAAGACUGAAGGUCCUCCGCAGAAUGUUUUACUCUUAUUUGUUUGUUACAAAAUGAUUUAUACUCGAUUCUGGAAAAUACAACCAAGCAAAAACCAAAAUAUUAUAGCAAAGACAACGAACAUUUCUAAUUUGUUUAUAUUUUUAUACAGAGAAGAAAGAAACGCAUGAAGAGAACCUUAACCAGAAACCGAAUGGAAAUCUCAACCAUUUCCAUUUUCAAAGUAUAUUAAUUAUAGCAAACAAAUUAUAUAUAUACAUAUAUAUAAUAUAUACGAGUAUAACUUAAGAGCGAUUUGUAGUUGCAUUUUGUCCUCGAACUUAAACUUGAACUACGCCAAUUGCAUACCAAAUACAUAUCAAAAGUAUAACUCAACUCUAGAUCCUCCAUUGAUAUUGAUAUAUUGAUAUUAUUGAUGUAUUGUCUACUUAAAUUGAACGUGCAAAACUCAAAAACUAUAAUGUACCUUAAAAAUCAACUCUAUUUCUUUAACUUUAACUUUAACUCUAACUAUAACUCAAAACUCUUUGCAACUUAUUCAAACUUUCAAUGUACAUAAAUACAAAAAGUAUUAA